rnacentral:rRNA from 1 species
UACGUAGGCAGCGAGCGUUGUUCGGAGUUACGUGGGACGUAAAGAGUGCGUAGGUCGGUUUUCUAAGUUUGGUGUGAAAUCUCCCGGCUUAACUGGGAGGGUGCGCCGAAAACUGGAAGGCUUGAGUAUGGGAGAGGUAAGCGGAAUUCCUGGUGUAGCGGUGAAAUGCGUAGAUAUCAGGAGGAACACCUGCGGUGUAGACGGCUUACUGGACCAUAACUGACGCUGAGGCACGAAAGCGUGGGUAGCAAACAGG